rnacentral:rRNA from 1 species
UAGCAAGAGUGAACCACCUGAUCCCUUCCCGAACUCAGAAGUGAAACCUCUUAGCGCUGAUGGUAGUGUGGGGUUACCCAUGUGAGAGUAAGUC